AAAACAAAGCACUCUAUAUGCCUUAUUGAUUAGACAAAAAUGGCUUCUUUUGAGCCCUUUUGCCCCCCUAUAAGUUUGUCCACGUCGUUCCGGAACACUCCGUAUAGACAUGAAAUCCAGAUGGUGGAAAAUGUAGAAACAGGAGUUAAAACUACAGUCAUUCUUCACAAUUUCCUGAUCCAGAGAAGCACCAUGUAUUGCUCAUCAACUUUUGUUGAUCAUUUAGAUUCUUUGGACAAUAUUAUUGAUAGUGAUUAGAGGACACAAGUAAUUUGGAACCCUUAGAAUGACUUCAGCAAGACCAGAUUACUCCAGGAACCCUUCACAAUCUGCUGUUGAAUGUUAGAAAUACUUUUUAUAGAUUUUUUAAUUUGCCUGCAGGGGCAGUAUUUUGGCAAAAUCGUGUUAACCGAUGAUUUUUCUUAUAUAUUUGUUACAAAAUAAACAAGCAUCCCUGAAAAUUUCUUGCACAUCCCUAGGGAUACACACACCAUACUUUGGAGAUCACUAUUUUAGACGAUCCCAAAAAUAAAAAAUAAAAAAAAAUAAUAAUAAUAAUAAUUGAAUUUCCAAAAUAGUCAGA
rnacentral:lncRNA from 1 species